CACGUCCAAUGGGAAGGUUGGGACGAUGAAAGCGGGAUAGCUGAGUAUGAAGUUGGCCUCAGCAGUACCGAGUUAGGAACAGUUUCUCCGGACAUCCACCCUUACACGUCAACAAAGUCCCACCCUGAGCUCACGCUGUACCACCCGAACCUGGCGCAGGGGGCGCUGUUUUACAUCGUCAUCCGGGCUACGAACAGGGCUCUCCUGUCAACUUCAAAGGUGUUUGGUCCUGUAACUGUUGACGUCACUCCGCCAGUCAUCGACACACCGAUCAACGUGACACACACGACUUUCAACACGACAUCCGGCAAUGAAGACUUCCUGGUCCCUACGUGGUCGGAGGGCUCAAUCUAUGACACAGAAGAUCUGGCAGAUCUGGAACUCGAAGUAGCUGCUGGUCACUCUCCAGGGGGUACAGAGCUGUUUGCGUUUGCCCCCGUGACGUCAAUCCUCGAGUCAAACUCU